CCUACGGGAGGCAGCAGUGGGAAAUCUUGGACAAUGGGCGCAAGCCUGAUCCAGCCAUGCCGCGUGAGUGAUGAAGGCCCUAGGGUCGUAAAGCUCUUUCGCCAGGGAUGAUAAUGACAGUACCUGGUAAAGAAACCCCGGCUAACUCCGUGCCAGCAGCCGCGGUAAUACGGAGGGGGUUAGCGUUGUUCGGAAUUACUGGGCGUAAAGCGCGCGUAGGCGGACUAUUAAGUGAGGGGUGAAAUCCCGGGGCUCAACCCCGGAACUGCCUCUCAUACUGGUAGUCUAGAGUUCGAGAGAGGUGAGUGGAAUUCCGAGUGUAGAGGUGAAAUUCGUAGAUAUUCGGAGGAACACCAGUGGCGAAGGCGGCUCACUGGCUCGAUACUGACGCUGAGGUGCGAAAGUGUGGGGAGCAAACAGGAUUAGAUACCCUGGUAGUCCACACCGUAAACGAUGAAUGCCAGUCGUCGGGUAGUAUACUAUUCGGUGACACACCUAACGGAUUAAGCAUUCCGCCUGGGGAGUACGGUCGCAAGAUUAAAACUCAAAGGAAUUGACGG
rnacentral:rRNA from 1 species